CCUACGGGUGGCAGCAGUGGGGAAUAUUGCACAAUGGGGGAAACCCUGAUGCAGCGACGCCGCGUGAAGGAAGAAGUAUUUCGGGAUGUAAACUUCUAUCAGCAGGGAAGAAAAUGACGGUACCUGACUAAGAAGCCCCGGCUAACGACGUGCCAGCAGCCGCGGUAAUACGUAGGGGGCAAGCGUUAUCCGGAUUUACGGGGUGGAAAGGGAGCGUAGGCGGUUUAGCAAGUCAGAAGGGAAAGCCCGGGGCUCAACUCCGGGACUGCUUUUGAAACUGUUGACCUAGCUUGCAGGAGAGGUAAGUGGCCUUCCUAGUGUAGCGGUGAAAUGCGUAGCUAUUAGGAGGCACCCCAGUGGCGAAGGCGGCUUACUGGACUGUAACUGACGCUGAGGCUCGAAAGCGUGGGGAGCAAACCGGAUUAGAUACCCCAGUAGUC
rnacentral:rRNA from 1 species